CGGAAACCCAACUCCAUCACAGCAGCAAUGCAGCAUCAAAGGACACACAACAUGAUCAUAUACCAGCAUGGGAAAACUUAAAUUUUUGACACAGUGCCAGUGUUCUUUGACUUCCUCAUUACCAAAUUAGCAUAACUUCAAUAUGGGAAUCUGUAAGCCACCUUGCUUCCAUUGAUGAUCAGCUGACUCUGGAGAUUGAAGCAUGUGCCUUUUAACAGUGUUAUCCUGUGGAAUAGGGUAUACUUUGGUAUCCAAGAAUUUGGUUUGAAAUUCUUACAUAACAGUGUUCAUGUUUGUCUAUCACAAUAUAAUUACUGUAAUCCAUGCCCACAUUAGAGGUAUUGUUGAAUAUUUUCUGUAAUCUUUUGCUAGAGAUACAUUGAUGGAGGAAGAGGUUGGUGGAAACUCUGUGGCUAAUAUAGUCAAGCUCUAUGGGUAAUCUUUGAAGAAGACUCUGCCAUGCCAUCUUAUCAGCCUGGCUUAUAGCCAUAGGAGUGAGUUCUCAUCAACAUGGAUUACUUUGUCCAACAUGACAGGUUUGAUACAGAAGCACGAGUCUCAUAACAGUUGUGUAUGAUACUUAGACACCCAAUUCAGUUAGUUUGGUUGUUUAUUUUUUCUUCUUCUGAUACUGGGACCCUGGAUAUUUCCUUGAUGUAGUUCCUUAGUCCUAAUAAAUGUUUUCUCUGAAAAUUUCAGGAUCAAGUUCUCUUAAGUUGAGCAGUCACCAAGUGAGGAUCUCUUGCUGAUUUCUUCGUUGAAUUUGUUAGAAUAGAUAGAUGCAGAGUCGCUUGCUCUCUUACUGAUCUCUAUCUAGAUGUGAGCGAUAGCAACCAUGUGCACCAUGCUUAUUUAGAUGAAAAAUUGCAAGUUAUGAAUUCCUACUGCUUUGAGUCUCAAGGGGAGGCAUAACUAUAUCUGGUGAUGACCAAGGAGUCAACUUUUUUUUGAUACAUUGGAAAACUACUAAAGAACAGCUAAGGAGUCUCGCAACAUAAGAGUCUCCAACUCAAAAAACGGCGCAUCGAGAACCUGCACACCCUGGCUAUCAGAGUUGGCUCCAAGCUUAGCAAUACAAUCAGCUGGGAUCUUACAUGCAGGGGAUCCUCCUUAUAGACACCCACCAAUCCUUGGCCAGCAUCUCUCUAAUAUUAGCAAUGAUUGGGAGAACAAGAUCACUGUCAAGACUCAAGAGUAUCCAUGUCUUCGAGCAGCCCGACACAAUCACUUUCACAAAUCAGAUUCCAAAAGCCGUGCUCCCAAGCCAUUGCCUUGUUUCACGCUAUCGCACCCAUCCUCAUCCAAUCUCCCGUGAAUGUCAUCUUCCACCGGGUUCGAGCACCUCAAGCAUACAAGUUGGAGUUUCAUGAAGAUUUGAGCAAGAAAACCAAGUGAGGAAAGUUUUCUCAAAAGUUGGCUCAAGCCACCACUUUACAGUAGAUUUUCAGCAUAGUUCGCUUGAGCCAACUUGAGUUAGCUUGAGCCAACUGAAGGCGGUCUUAACUACUUCAGCAUGAAGAAAGGUUCGCAUGAGCCAACUUAGCUUUUGAGCCAACUAAGGUCGGCCAGAAACUCUAUAAAUGGCCAGACCACGAAAUUUUCAGGAUCUUUUCCAUUUUUCCUCCCUAAAACAUUCAUAGGAGGCUGGGCUUCAUGGCGGAAGGUUCUCUGGGUCUAGGAUUGACGGAUUGAAGCUCCGGAGCGUGGCGGUGACCGCCGAAGGACUGUGACAACCUCUAGGAGGCGAUGGAAAGCUUGGGAAAGCUUCUAUCGCCGUGGAUCCUUCGCCGUUAUUCUGGGUUUCAUCUCUUCUUCCUUAUCCCUUGUACAUGUUGUUUCUAUUUUUGUAU